AAUUAAUGAAUUGAUUAUGAUUGAUUAAAUUUUAUAUGAAGUUCAAUAUUAAGUUUAGAGAUAUUGGCGGUGUUUUAUUAAAUUCUGAGAAUCUUGCAUAGUUAAAAUGAUAGUACACAAUUUAUCUUAUCUUAGUUUUGUUGGUUUAUAUAUUGCUGUUUUAUUUAUGGUUUGGUUUUGAUAAAAUAGGUAAAGGGAUUUUGUAGUAAGAAGUUCAAGUCAAAAUAUAGUUUUAUUAAGGUUUGUGUGAGUUGCUUUUGUUUAGAAAGUAGGAAUAAUAAAGUAAAAUGAAAUUUUAUAUAAAGAGGGAUUAGGUUGUAAAGGAAGAUUAGUAAGUUUUCUUGAUAAAUUAUAUAAACAUGU
rnacentral:rRNA from 1 species